GAGAGAGAGAGAGAGAGAGAGAGAGAGAGAGAGAGAGAGCUGUGGCGGGUUACAGCAUGUGCGCUAUCAAUCACUGGUAUUCCUACACUCUGGAGCAGCUGGCCCAUUCAGAGGUCAGGUAUAACAUAAUGGAUUCUCUCCGACACAUUCUGUCACUUUUCUUUCUGUUUUAUCCUGGCGAGAAAAGCCCUUAGAUGAAGAAGCAUCUUAUAGUAUCAUGUUACUAGUUUGUUUCACAUGCAUCUGCUCAUUUGAAAUACUAAACUAACAAUAUUAGCCUAUGUGAUGCCCAGGAAUUUGGGAGGUUGAAUGUAGGGGAUGCUGGAGGGAGAACCAAAUUAAUUCAGCCAUUUAGGAGAAAUAAUUUUUUAAUUUUUUUUUUACAAACAACACCUUGACAGCCUUUUAUUUCAGGAUAGACACACAUCUUUAAUACAGAUUUGCUCUGAAAAAACAUAAAAACUCUAUUUUUAACACUAAUGAUAUUUUAUUUUGAAUUAUGAAACAUGAGUAAAAUAGCUGUCAAAUAUCACAAAAAACAACAACUAAGGAGACAAAGUUCAGAGAGCUCUGUCAGCUCCUUCAAGCCUGUGUAUCCUCCUUGCACUUCAAGUAGCUUAUGCACGGAAAUUUAAACAAAUGCUCUAAAACGUUCCCUGCAAAGAUUGUGACUGGAAGUUUAUGAGCUUAUGUGAGACGGUUAUGGAUGAAGAACUUAUAGGGAAAUGCGGUAGAUCACAAGGGAUGCCUGAACGCCGUCUGUGACCCAUCAGUGAACCCUUCUGAUCCACGGCUCUCCAAAGCAGCAGAGCAACAUUUUUAUUUCCUGUUUGAAGAAUUAUUUUAUAUAUAAAAUUAAAUAUUUCAACUUAGAUUAGUGCACUUGGUGUGAAAUAUACCUAAACCACUGACACAAAUUCUCAGAAAAAAUAAAAGCCAAACAUUAACUGUAGUAAAAUAAUGGUUUUAUCUACACAGAAAGCUGUAUCUUUUUGCCCUCACACACAAUUAACAGGAGUCACAGUUUGAAAAAAAUACAAAAGAAGAUAGGCAGAAAGCAAACAGCACGAUCACAGCAAAUCUUGAGCUGUCAGAUGUUUCCUGUACUAUUUUAAGUGCACAAAGCAAGCUGCACUUUGUUAGGGACACAUGGCUGUGUUGCUAGGGAGCCGCCUGCCAUCUCUGCUGGGCAUUUAAAGGACUAGUUUAUCAACUCGCUACAGUGACCUUGACAUUUUAAGAUUUUGAUAAAUACAUUUCCUAUUACUUUUAAUUUUAAAUGGUAGUAAUAUUGUAAUUACAGUAUACCAUAUAUCAAUUGUAUAGCUUUUUUGUUGAUGUUAACACAAUUUAAUGUGCUCCUGGGCAGUAGUGGAGGAAGGAUUCAGAUGCCUUAUUUAAGUAAAAGUAGCAAUACCACACUGUAAACAGACAUACCUACAGUAUUAUUAUCAAAUGUAUAAUAGCCUGCUUUAUAAAGGGCUGCAACUAAUUAUUUUCAUUGAAGAUAAACUUGCUGAUUAUUUUAUUUUGGCUCUACUCCUCAGCCGGACUGCAAUGGCAGCCACGUGAUUCUCCUUGGGGUUCAAUGUGCCUGUCAGGGUAGCCUAAAUCAACUAAAAGUGCAACAUGACUACAUUAUGGAAAGGACUGUUACAGAGGUAGACCUUUUCUAGGAUGCUUUUUGUUUCACCGGAAGAAGCCGUUAUAUCGCUUUUGCUUGCCACCAGACUUCAUUGAAAAAAGCAAUAAUUUUACCUCAUGGGUCAUCAUAAAACAAACUUCAUUCAAACUGGACAGAAACAAAACAUAAACUCCCCAAAACUGUCCUAUUUAGCCUUUUACAGCAAUCACUAACUUGGUCAAAAUAAAUCCUUAAUUCACUGCGUUGAUGAUAAAAAAAGCAGCCGUUGUAUCGCACUCCUCAAAUCCACAGUUUCACAGCAAGGGACUUACAUGCACAACAGGCAUGCGUGGCUGGACCAGCUACCAAAACAGAGCACAGAGAAGCUCAGAUGACCACAGACACAGAAGGGAUGUGACGUCAUUCUUUGCUCGGGAUGACAUCACCCCACUGUAUCUUUACUUAGUAAAUAGUUAUUUGCUGCUUUAUUAAUGUUCAGAAUCUCAUAUACAGAACUUGGACACGAAAAAGAAGCAAAAUUCUCACAUUUGAGAAACUCGAAAAGUUUUGUCUAAUUUUAUUUUUAACUUUAAAUAUAACAUUAUAUUUCAUAAGUUCAUCAUAUGUUUUGUAUGUAAAACCUUAAUUUGCAAAUAACUAAUAACUGUAGCUAAAAUCAGUUGAGUAGAAGAAUAAUGUGGAAUUGGAAAUAUUCAAGUAAAGUACCUCAUAUUUGUACUUAAGUAUAGUAAAUGUACUUUGUAAUAUUUCACCACUGGUCCUGGUUGAUUGUGCUUCACUGAGCAUAAUUAAAGAAAUAUAUAUUUACAGUAGAGGAUAGAUCAUAGGCAGACAGACAGGUCAACAGAUGAAUUUUGUGGCUAAAUCUGCAUCACAAUAUCUUUAUAUUUAUUUGGAUACAGUGAUCUCAAAGUGAAAGUGAAAAAUGAACUAAGCACCACAGACCCAAGAAAACCUCAAAAAUGUCCGCCAGGGCUCUCUCCGGCUUGAUCUGUAUCAAUUUGGACAAGCAGUGCGCACUCUUUUCUCUGUCAACAUUAUCCUGCCACCAAAUCCCAUAUGCAUCUGUGAAUGGAUAGCAUGUGUGUUACAAGGAAAUUUAUGGAAAUCAAAAAGGCGAUGAUGAAAGAAGCUGCAAUGUCAUCUGUCUUAAUAUGGGAUUUGUGUGUCACACGCAGUAGGUUCCUAUGGCCGUUUGGUGAAGGAUCAGCUUUGCAAUUGUCUGCUCGGGGAUCAACAGCUGACUGAAGAGUGAAGUGGUCGGCAACCACACUUAACUGUUCCCCUCUUGGCUGUUUUUAGCAAACAUCCUCCUGACGACUACAGCCUCUGUCUCCCAACAUAAGAGCUGCACAUCUUCAGAGGUGUGUGUGCUUGUUCACACACAGCCUUACCCCCUACCCCCACAUUACAGACCUCAUCCACUUAAGCACAUUUCUGAUUCAAGGCACUGUACAAGCUUUUUGCACAUUGUACAUACACACACACGCCCCAGAUGUAAGUGAAACAUUUACGGAUCACAUGCAAGCACACGCAAACAUGAACACAUGUGCACACACAGGAGCAUACUUACAUCCACGUAGGCGCACGCACACACACACACACACACACACACACAGACAUACACACACACAUCACAUGCGGCAGACACACACCACAGAGACUUCCAGUCCCCUCCCCCCAACUGAAUAGUCUGUUCUGACAAUCCACAGGACAGCCGGAGCAUUGACGUCAGAGGCAGGCCCAUGAAAAUACAGGGUCCCUGGGGGGCUGAGGGAGUUAUGCACAUCUUCACAGCUUGGCUCGCAACUAGUUCAACAACCAAUGAGCAUAUUACUGCCUCUGUUUACUCUUAUUUGUUGGGAAAAUGCAAUAAAAAAAAAGAAGUUUCACAUUUACACAAAGCCUGGCAUGCACAAAUUUGCAUGCAACUGCAAUGCGGAUCAUCUGAAACGUGACGUCAAUGGACGUCAUUGCACUGUGAUCCAUUAGAACAAAUGUGAGAUAGGUGCAUAAUUUAGGUUAAUGGAAAUAUAAAUCACAGCACAUCAUUACCUGCUCUCUGUCGUCUUAAUAAUUGCCAUUUUGAAUAACUUCUGUCAGACUGUAGUUUACUUGACAUACCCAGAGGAAAGGUUUGUUGUUCGCUCAGACAUCUUCACAGUCCAGGGAGAAAAGAUGACAUCUUUGUUUACUGCUCAGUGCUCUGAACAUCUUUCUGGGUUUUUUUUCUUCUUCUAAGACAUCAUUGGGACAUCAGAGCCAUUAAUCUCAUUGUUCUCUCUCGUUCUCCUCCUCUCACCUUUUCUGAGAUUGACUAUGGCAAAUUAUGUAACAUAGUAACUGUUUGUCUGCAACCAAAUACAGUCUGUGUUGCUGAGGUCUUAGCUGUGUUCUUGUUAAAGAAAUAUUCUACACAAUAAAGUCUAAUAGUCUAGUCAAAGUAAUUUGAUCUUGGACUGUAUGGGCAGAAAGCCCUAUGGCUUAUUUGAGACAAUGCUAGUGAUUCAGUAGACAUACAUUGAAGCAGUAUCAGCAUGCAUGUUCGUGUGUGUGUGUCAGUGGUUUUUAAAUAUCACAGAUGCAUGAAGAAAAAUAUUAGGGGAUAAAUAUGAAAUUAAAUAUUGUUAUAUCCUGAAUACAGUUAUAACUAUAACUGUAAAUGCAUUUCCAAGAGGUUUAGCAUUUGUGACUUUUGACUGCAGUACAGCAAGUAGAGGUUGAUCUCAGUGAACUUAACCUCUCUUUCCUGUGAUCACACUUGAACGUUGAACCAGAAUGCUUUUCUAUUCAACCGUUGAAGAGCUGAUUAGAUAUAGGCAAAAAAAAAAAACAUUCUGUAGUAACUGGCGUUUCCUGUUGCAGAUGAAACAGAGCAAAGUCAACCCUGUGAGUCCAUCUGAGUUUGAGACUGGAGCAUCUUCUCAGUUGAUCAACAGUCCUAAACUCACAGUUUGUGGCCUGCACAGCUGACACAUGUUCUGACUCAGAUGUAACUUGGAUGACUUCCUUCCAUGUGGUGAACACGGGGACAGGAAAUUAAUAGUCCAGUGCAAUGGAACCAUUAAAGACAGAUUGUUUUUUGUCAGCAUCAGUAGAAGCACUGUGUAGAUUACAUAGCAGGGAUUAUAUGUUGUGUCCCCAAGGGCAAGUGUCCACUAAUAAAACUUGACUCUUCAGCUGCCUGCAUGUCCCUCAGCGCUGGCUUGUCAACAGGAAACCGGCUGGUCUAGUGAGGGUUGCCUUUUAUGGACACACUGACAGCAACAGCACGUUCUGAGAACCUGAGAGGGAUGAUGGUCCAAACUCAUUUGGGGUGGAGCUGAUUAAAUGACUGACCUUAUAUGAAAACCCGUCCUGUUCUUGAUGAGUUCAGAGGUCAGGGCAAACUGGAGCACACCUGGGAGCUGAUGGGUAUUCUUGUGCUUUACUGCAACCUGAAGAAGGUCACUCGAGAUGGUAAAAAAAACAAAACACAUCCAAACAUUAGCGAGGUAGGUUUGUAAGCAGCAACGCUUACUCUGAUUGCAAAAUGAAGCGUUUGUAAAUUCAGAGCACUGCCAGAAUCCCUCUGCCUAAAUUCAGAGCAUCAGAGACACUUAACAGACAAUGUGGACAACUGUGCUCUAACGGCUUUUACAGUAUAAAGGUACCGUCCUUUAGAAGUAAACCUGCUACUGUAUGGUCUUUUAAUCUCUGGCUAUGGGGUUUCUUCACAUUAAAGGGGAGACUGACAAAAAUCUAUUCUCUUACUACACCUUUAAGUAUAGAUUUAGUUGGAUUCAAUGCUUUUAGUUAUUGGAAACUGACAAAUGCACAUUUAAAAGCUACAAAAUAUACACAGUCCCGACAAAAGGAUCUUCUUUUUGCUUAUUUAAAUCUGGUUCACUACACAUGACUGUGCUUAACAAAACUACGCAGCUGUAGGAGGAGAAAAUGUAAUGACGUGAUCCAUGAUGAGCAUUUUUCUUUGUACAUUUCAACAGGUUUAAUGCAGCAGUUGACUGAAACAGUGGAAGCCAUCUUCUGCUUGUGUGCCACACGCUGACAAAUUUAAUGUGAUUGUAUCACACAUCUAAUGCUUAGGGUGGAUAUAUGGCAAGAAAUAAAUGAAAGAAAUGUUGUUAAGGUUUCCGUCAACGCAUGAGAGAAAACAAAGAAAGCACGCUCAGAGAGCGCACAGUGGACAGGUGGAGCAGAUAUGUGAGGUGGAGCUGUGUGGCGCGCUGCAGUGGAGGGAACUGCAGAAAGCACAUGAAUCAAAAAAAAAUUUUUUUAAAUGGGUGAAAAAAAAUGUGAUGAAAGAAGUGUGUGCAGGGAGAGGGAGGGGUGUGGUGGGUGUAUCUGCGUCAGAGCUGGAGCCAAUGAAGUCAGAGAUGGGGCAGGCUCAAGCAGGAGACGCUGUUACUGCCACUCACAGCACCCGCCUGGGCCUCAUGUCCUCUACGUCACAGAGCUGGCACAAAUUAUGCCUGUCUGAACGUUUGACACACACACGGUAAAAUGUAAUUUAUGUGCAUUACACAUAUACCGCACCUAUUUAAAUUAGCACCAGCAGACAUGCAUUUUUAUUCCCCUCAAAGUAAAAUCACAAUUUUUUUUACUCUGAAUUCACAUUUCUGGCACAAAAAAAAAAUAUAGUGCUUAAAAACACAUUUUCUAAUAAAGCAGCGGUUUUCAAUACAUUA